AGAAUACUGGAUUCCUUCCAUUAACUGACAAGCAGAUCCAGCCCGCAAAGCAGCAGCAAACUAUCAUAGCGUCCUUCUGCCAGAGAAUUCACCAGGUCAUCACACACCAGAGACUAGGUGCUUGCAUGAUGCAAAGCUGUGUGAAACAGAGCAAAGACUGGAUCGCUGAAGGGAGGGGAGCAGUGGCCAUGCAGAAGGACUAAGUUGUAGGAACUAUCAUUGUCAUCUGUGCUGACAAGCAGGGCGAUGUGGUGGUGUGUGCUUUGAAGAGCUCUGUGUCGAGCUGACAGUUCUAACUGAA
rnacentral:lncRNA from 1 species